GCAAUAUGAAGGUCAGGCUGAAGACUUACCCGAUUAGCUGAGAGGUGGUGCAUGGCCGUCGUCAGUUCGUACUGUGAAGCAUCCUGUUAAGUCAGGCAACGAGCGAGACCCACGUCCACAGUUGCCAGCAUACCCUCCGGGGUGAUGGGUACACUGUGGAGACCGCCGCUGCUAAAGCGGAGGAAGGAGUGGGCAACGGUAGGUCAGUAUGCCCCGAAUCUCCCGGGCUACACGCGGGCUACAAUGGUUGGUACAAUGGGCAUCUACCCCGAAAGGGGAAGGAAAUCUCUUAAAGCCAAUCGUAGUUCGGAUUGAGGGCUGCAACUCGCCCUCAUGAAGCUGGAAUCCGUAGUAAUCGCGUUUCAACAGAACGCGGUGAAUACGUCCCUGCUCCUU
rnacentral:rRNA from 1 species